rnacentral:rRNA from 1 species
GAUGAACGCUGGCGGCGUGCUUAACACAUGCAAGUCGAACGAAGCACUUUAUUUGAUUUCCUUCGGGACUGAAGAUUUUGUGACUGAGUGGCGGACGGGUGAGUAACGCGUGGGUAACCUGCCUCAUACAGGGGGAUAACAGCUGGAAACGGCUGCUAAUACCGCAUAAGCGCACAGUGCUGCAUGGCACAGUGUGAAAAACUCCGGUGGUAUGAGAUGGACCCGCGUCUGAUUAGCCAGUUGGCAGGGUAACGGCCUACCAAAGCGACGAUCAGUAGCCGACCUGAGAGGGUGACCGGCACAUUGGGACUGAGACA